CAGGCAAAUCCUAUGAUAUUGGUGGCACAGCAUAUUUUUUUCCCACUGAAUUUUUGGUUUCAAUGCAAUGUUUAUAUCAUACAAAGGAUAUAUAUGUCAAAGAUAUUUUUGAAUCAUCAGUGGAUGGCUCAGAAAAUGAUUUUAAAGUUCACUAACAAUGCAACAAAAUUUUGUACAAAAUGAAGAGUUAUCUCCCCUUUUCAAUGAAUUUGCAGUGCUUUCU
rnacentral:lncRNA from 1 species